UGGGAUUAUAGGCAUAUACAACUCGUGGCA
rnacentral:piRNA from 1 species